AUUGAACGCUGGCGGCAUGCCUUACACAUGCAAGUCGAACGGUAACAGGUCUUCGGAUGCUGACGAGUGGCGAACGGGUGAGUAAUACAUCGGAACGUGCCUAGUAGUGGGGGAUAACUACUCGAAAGAGUGGCUAAUACCGCAUGAGAUCUACGGAUGAAAGCAGGGGAUCGCAAGACCUUGCGCUACUAGAGCGGCCGGUGGCAGAUUAGGUAGUUGGUGGGAUAAAAGCUUACCAAGCCGAAGAUCGGUAGCUGGUCUGAGAGGACGAUCAGCCACACUGGGACUGAGAAACGGCCCAGACUCCUACGGGAGGCAGCAGUGGGGAAUUUUGGACAAUGGGCGCAAGCCUGAUCCAGCAAUGCCGCGUGCAGGAUGAAGGCCUUCGGGUUGUAAACUGCUUUUGUACGGAACGAAAAGCCCCGGGUUAAUACCCUGGGGUCAUGACGGUACCGUAAGAAUAAGCACCGGCUAACUACGUGCCAGCCGCCGCGGUAA
rnacentral:rRNA from 1 species